ACAGGAUCUUUUGCCUACACGUUUCUUAGCUCUGCCAGCUCUCCAGAUUUUUUUUUUUUCAAAAAUUAAUUAAAGUCUGUCAAUGGCAGGCCACCCUUGUGGAUCGCUGUGUCUCUCGGCCCAACUGGAAAUCUCCAAAGCUCCAUCUCUCCUGAUUCCAGGUCAACAUUCGGCAUAGAAUCAGUCACUCAGAGGGGCUACUCAGAAGUUCACAUAUUAAAUGGAUAUGGAGGAGUCUUUGCCCAGCCUUUGACACUGUCCCGGGGAGGGACAUCAAAGAAGAAAAGAAAUUCAACUUGGAAAUAACUUGGAGAUGCCUUUGAGAUGUAAUGGAGGGAGAUGCUCUGGGGAUGAGCAACUGACUAGGAUUUUGCCCUGCUCUGCCCUGUCACCUACUGUGGGCCCUCACACUUGCCUACUGACUGGAGAGAAAGUGCCAAUGAGUGCAAAGCUAAGUUCUCCAAGAUUCAGGUUCAGGAAGUUCACAAGGCUGCAAACACAAUUACUGCUCAAGCUACUGAGCCAAUGCUCUUGACCCUGGGUUUCUGGUGAGAAGGAGCCACAAAUCUAAGCCAGGAUGAUCUCAUGGAGUCUUUGUCCUCCCUUCCUCUGUAUUCACACAAAAGCCCACUGGGAAGCUCCUACAGCCACGUGAUUCCUGCUCAAAGGUUUAGAGUUAAAUGGGUCUCAGGUAGCCCUGGUAGACUUCGAACUCCCUAUGUAGCUGAACUCCAGAGGCUCCUGACUUCACUUCUGAAGUGUCAGGAUGUGAUGUGUGUGCAGCCACGCUCAGCUUGUGCAGAGCCAUGGGUGGAACAGAUGGCUUUGUGGAUGCUCGUCUUUGUCUCUUUCUGGCAAGUGCCUCUGCCACUGCUGCUGCCACUGCGUCUGUUGACACCAUCUUUCCUUGACAUCAGAAUCUGGUUUCUUUGGACUUUUAGCCUGGGCUGAAGAGCCAUGACUAUCCAAGAAUCAUCCAUGCCCUGGGCAUGAGGUUGGGAUGGCUGAGGCAUGUGGUUUCAUGGACUGAGCAGCCCCUACACCUUCACUUUCUACAGUGUGAAGACAGCCAUGGUUGGAGUAUCUAGCCUUUAUUGUGCAAGCUAAUUGAAUAAAGUUCCGUUUUUAUAUGC
rnacentral:lncRNA from 1 species